rnacentral:piRNA from 1 species
UAAAUGAUGAGGACUCUUCGGUGU